UACGGAGGGUGCAAGCGUUAUCCGGAUUUACUGGGUUUAAAGGGUGCGCAGGCGGAUAUGUAAGUCAGUGGUGAAAUCUCUAGGCUUAACCUGGAAAUUGCCGUUGAUACUAUAUAUCUUGAAUGCUGUGGAGGUUUGCGGAAUAUGUCAUGUAGCGGUGAAAUGCUUAGAUAUGACAUAGAACACCGAUUGCGAAGGCAGCAGGCUACACAAAUAUUGACGCUGAGGCACGAAAGCGUGGGGAUCAAACAGG
rnacentral:rRNA from 1 species